UUGAACGCUGGCGGCAUGGCUAAAACAUGCAAGUCGAACGCACCCGCAAGGGUGAGUGGCGAAAGGGUCAGUAACGCGAUCGAACGUACCCCGAGGUGGGGGAUAGGCACGGGAAACUGUGCGUAAUACCCCAUGUGGUCCACGGACCAAAGAUUUUUCGCCUUGGGAGCGGCGAUCGUCCUAUCAGGUAGUUGGCGGGGUAACGGCCCACCAAGCCGAAGACGGGUAGCGGGUGUGAGAGCACGGCCCGCGACAUCGGGACUGAGACACUGCCCGGACUCCUACGGGAGGCUGCAGUAACGAAUCUUCCGCAAUGGGCGAAAGCCUGACGGAGCAAUGCCGCGUGCGGGAUGAAGCGCCUUUGGCGUGUAAACCGCUGUCAGGGGACGGAACCAAUGAUUGUCCCCAGAGGAAGAGCCGGCUAACCCUGU
rnacentral:rRNA from 1 species